rnacentral:rRNA from 1 species
UACGAAGGUCCCAAGCGUUAUCCGGAUUUAUUGGGUUUAAAGGGUGCGUAGGCGGGCUAUUAAGUCAGUGGUGAAAUCUCCGGGCUCAACCCGGAAACUGCCAUUGAUACUAUUAGUCUUGAAUUCUGUUGAGGUGGGCGGAAUACAUCAUGUAGCGGUGAAAUGCUUAGAUAUGAUGUAGAACACCGAUUGCGAAGGCAGCUCACUAAGCAGACAUUGACGCUGAGGCACGAAAGCGUGGGGAUCAAACAGG